rnacentral:rRNA from 1 species
CCCACAGGCCGUAAACCCAAGGUUUCCAGGGGAAGGUUCGUCCGCCCUGGGUUAGUCGGGACCUAAGCUGAGGCCGAAAGGCGUAGGUGAUGGACAACAGGUUGAUAUUCCUGUACUACCGAUAACCAUUUGAGAGAUGGGAUGACACAGUAGGAUAAGCUAAGCACACUGUUGGUUAUGUGUGCCCAAGCAUUGAGGCAGUCAGAGUAGGUAAAUCCGCUUUGAUAAUGCUGGGAUGUGAUGGGGAGCGAAAUUUAGUAGCGAAGUAGCUGAUUUCACACUGUCAAGAAAAGUCUCUAUCGAGGUUAAAGGUACCCGUACCGCAAACCGACACAGGUGGGUGAGGAGA